rnacentral:rRNA from 1 species
AUUGAACGCUGGCGGCAGGCCUAACACAUGCAAGUCGAACGGCAGCGGGGGGUAGCUUGCUACCCCGCCGGCGAGUGGCGGACGGGUGAGUAAUGCCUGGGGAGCUGCCCAAUCGAGGGGGAUACCAGUUGGAAACGACUGCUAAUACCGCAUACGCCCUGAGGGGGAAAGGUGGGGAUCUUCGGACCUAUCGCGAUUGGAUGCACCCAGGUGGGAUUAGCUAGUUGGUGAGGUAACGGCUCACCAAGGCGACGAUCUCUAGCUGGUCUGAGAGGAUGACCAGCCACGCUGGAACUGAGACACGGUCCAGACUCCUACGGGAGGCAGCAGUGGGGAAUAUUGCACAAUGGGGGAAACCCUGAUGCAGCCAUGCCGCGUGUGUGAAGAAGGCCUUCGGGUUGUAAAGCACUUUCAGCGAGGAGGAAAGGGUGGAAGCUAAUACCUUUCAUCUGUGACGUUACUCGCAGAAGAAGCACCGGCUAACUCCGUGCCAGCCGCCGCAGUAA